rnacentral:rRNA from 1 species
AUUGAACGCUGGCGGCAUGCCUUACACAUGCAAGUCGAACGGCAGCACGGGAGCAAUCCUGGUGGCGAGUGGCGAACGGGUGAGUAAAGUAUCGGAACGUGCCCAGUCGUGGGGGAUAACGUAGCGAAAGUUACGCUAAUACCGCAUACGAUCUAUGGAUGAAAGCGGGGGAUCGCAAGACCUCGCGCGAUUGGAGCGGCCGAUAUCAGAUUAGGUAGUUGGUGGGGUAAAGGCUCACCAAGCCGACGAUCUGUAGCUGGUCUGAGAGGACGACCGUCCACACUGGGACUGAGACACGGCCCAGACUCCUACGGGAGGCAGCAGUGGGGAAUUUUGGACAAUGGGCGAAAGCCUGAUCCAGCCAUGCCGCGUGCAGGAUGAAGGCCUUCGGGUUGUAAACUGCUUUUGUACGGAACGAAAAGGUUUGGGCUAAUAAGCUGAGCUCAUGACGGUACCGUAAGAAGAAGCACCGGCUAACUCUGUGCCAGCCGCCGCCGUAA